UACGUAGGGUGCGAGCGUUGUCCGGAAUUAUUGGGCGUAAAGAGCUCGUAGGCGGUGUGUCGCGUCGGUCGUGAAAACUUGGGGCUUAACCCUGAGCUUGCGGUCGAUACGGGCAGACUAGAGUUCGGUAGGGGAGUCUGGAAUUCCUGGUGUAGCGGUGAAAUGCGCAGAUAUCAGGAGGAACACCGGUGGCGAAGGCGGGACUCUGGGCCGAUACUGACGCUGAGGAGCGAAAGCGUGGGGAGCGAACAGG
rnacentral:rRNA from 1 species